GUGGGGCAACACCAUUCAAAUACAAAGAGCAAAAAAGUUCUCCAUCCAGAACUCUCCUUCCAGUGAAAAUAGCUUUCAAAAAUGAAGGCAAAAUAACAACUUUUUCAGAAAAACAACCAAGAGAAUUCGUUGCCAAUAGACUUAUGCUACAAGAAAUGUUAGAGGAAAUUCUCCAGGCAGGGGGAAUAUGGCACCAGACAGAAACUUGGAACUGUAAAAAGAAAUCAAGAGCGCUAGAAAUGCUGAAAAUGAAGAUGAGAAGACUGUGGCUUGGAGACGUUAAGUGACUUACCCAAGGGCACAGAGCUCAUGAACCUGAAUCAGGGUUCACGCCAAACAGUGUGGCUCUGGGGCCCCGGGCUCCUGUACACUAUUCUGCAUGAUCUCUUGGCCUGGAGAACAGACCCAGGUGGACUGGGGCCAUCACUCUGGAUGCCCAAAAGAUGAGGACUUCUUAGGAAGUUGAGCAGCGAGCACUAGAUAUUAUUAAUAGAUGUCAAUAGCUGCUCAGACAUAGUAAUCAAAUGAAUUCUAAGGUCUUGAAUGUAAGGAGACUCACCACUUAUCCUUCAUCCCUUUGCUGGUGACAAGAAGAGACCAAGGUUUGUGAUGGUACUGCUGGGGGCUGCCUGUCAGAAAAAGGAAGGCAUCCUGCUUGGACCGGUUUCUGCAGAGGAAGGAAAGAAAGGAAACGUCGUCCCCUGGUGGGCAUCGUUGGUAGCGGCAGUAGGCAGCCGACCAGCAUUAGGUAUGAGGAGGAUGUUAAGGCAAGGAGGUUUCUCGAGUCCUGGUGAAUUAUCAUGUUGUAACUAUCCCAUGGCCAUUUAAAAGGAAUGUGCAUUCUGCUUAAAGGAUAUAUAUGCGUCUAUUAAAUCAAGAUGCUUUUAUUGUUACAUUCUUCAAAUCCUCUAUAUUCAUAUAUAAAUCCAUGCAUAUGAAAAUAUAUGAAUAUAUAGUCUAAAUUCAUAUAUAUAGUCUAUAUUCAUAUAUGUAUAUAUUUCUUGUGUCAAUUACGAGGGGCAGAGAGACAUGUUAAAAUCUCCUGGCUAUAAUUUUUAUUUGUCUAUUUUCCUUCAUACACUGCUAUGGUUUGAAU
rnacentral:lncRNA from 10 species